UUACGUUCAAAUCACGCUGAAACACCGGUUCUCGUACGAUCACCGAAGUUAAGCAGCGUAGAGCCAGGUCAGUACUUAGAUGGGGGACCGCUUGGGAACACCUGGUACUGUAAG
rnacentral:rRNA from 1 species